rnacentral:rRNA from 1 species
UACGAAGGGGGCUAGCGUUGUCCGGAAUCACUGGGCGUAAAGGGCGCGUAGGCGGCCGAUUAAGUCGGGGGUGAAAGCCUGUGGCUCAACCACAGAAUUGCCUUCGAUACUGAUUGGCUUGAGACCGGAAGAGGUCAGUGGAACUGCGAGUGUAGAGGUGAAAUUCGUAGAUAUUCGCAAGAACACCAGUGGCGAAGGCGGCUGACUGGUCCGGUUCUGACGCUGAGGCGCGAAAGCGUGGGGAGCAAACAGG